rnacentral:rRNA from 1 species
GGGCCCGCACAAGCAGUGGAGUAUGUGGUUUAAUUCGAAGCAACGCGAAGAACCUUACCAGGACUUGACAUACCUCUGACGCACCUAGAGAUAGGUGUUCCCUUCGGGGCAGAGGAUACAGGUGGUGCAUGGUUGUCGUCAGCUCGUGUCGUGAGAUGUUGGGUUAAGUCCCGCAACGAGCGCAACCCCUGUUGUUAGUUGCCAUCAUUUAGUUGGGCACUCUAGCGAGACUGCCGGUGACAAAUCGGAGGAAGGUGGGGACGACGUCAAAUCAUCAUGCCCCUUAUGUCCUGGGCUACACACGUACUACAAUGGCUAUUACAGCAGGAUGCGAAACCGUAAGGUGGAGCCAAUCCCUAAAAAUAGUCCCAGUUCAGAUUGUGGGCUGCAACUCGCCCACAUGAAGUCGGAAUUGCUAGUAAUUGCAGGUCAGCAUACUGCAGUGAAUACGUUCCCGGGCCUU